rnacentral:rRNA from 1 species
UACGUAGGGUGCAAGCGUUAAUCGGAAUUACUGGGCGUAAAGCGUGCGCAGGCGGCUUUGUAAGUCUGAUGUGAAAUCCCCGGGCUCAACCUGGGAAUUGCAUUGGAGACUGCAAGGCUAGAAUCUGGCAGAGGGGGGUAGAAUUCCACGUGUAGCAGUGAAAUGCGUAGAGAUGUGGAGGAACACCGAUGGCGAAGGCAGCCCCCUGGGUCAAGAUUGACGCUCAUGCACAAAAGCGUGGGGAGCAAACAGG